rnacentral:rRNA from 1 species
UACGUAGGCAGCAAGCGUUGUUCGGAGUUACUGGGCGUAAAGAGUGCGUAGGUGGUGCCCCAAGUCUGUUGUGAAAUCUCCCGGCUUAACUGGGAGGGUGCGGUGGAAACUGGGGUGCUUGAGUGUGGGAGAGGUAAGCGGAAUUCCUGGUGUAGCGGUGAAAUGCGUAGAUAUCAGGAGGAACACCGGUGGUGUAGACGGCUUACUGGACCACGACUGACACUGAGGCACGAAAGCGUGGGUAGCAAACAGG